CUACGUGUUGCACGAAAACAUCUACGCUUUGGUUGGGCUUUGGUUGGGCUUUCUCCCUAAAAUAUUGCAAUCGCAAAGUUUGGUGGAAGAGGGCGAACUGCUUAAAAUAAUGGUGCAGGGUUAGGUGAAUCAUGAUUGGAGCAAUAGUUUCACGAUGGGUUUAAACUUGCCGUUUGCGAAUUUUCAAAAUUUAUUUUUGUCUGACAAAAAGUGUUUUUUAAUCAAUAGAUAAGUUAGUGAAAGUUAUUAAAUAUCUUAAUCCAUAUAUAUUUACAGGACGUGCACAGUCAAGCAUAUUGUUCGCUACAAUACAACAGCAGUAGUUUAGCUAUCGAAAGAAAUAUAUUUGAUGCAAACCGUAGAACAUAUCUGACAUAAAAUUUUUCAAAAAUAUCAGAAAAUGAAGAAAGCCUGUUCCCAAAAUGCCGGUAGCCACUUCCCGAAUCUCUAUCUUACGUGAAACAUCUUGACUGCGUGUCGAUAUGGAAGGGUCAUGUCGUGAAAACAGCGGCUUAAACUGGUGAUGCACUUUAGGUGUAUGAUAAACACUGAUAUAAUUGUUCUCGCCGUAUGGUUGAGUUCUUUUUUGAAUUUCGUUUGCCCUGUGCUCGGCAUUGAAUUUCAACGAAAUGCCAUGUUCGAAUGAGUGAGCGAAAGGCAAGAUUACAGUUGAUACGGCCAAUAGGAUCAGAAUAGCUGCAUCGAGUACCUGAAAUAUAGCAAAAUCAAGCUGAGGAAGAUGUCUCAUUUUGGUUAUGAUAUUGAUGUCCUCCACCUCUACUCCUACAAAUUUCAACAAGUUGCGAAGAAGCUACAAUAGAGCCAAACUUGAAACCUUACUGAUAUGAAAGUGAGCUCAUCAAUGCUGAUUUAUAUAAGCUUGGUGAAACUGAAAAAAUUAAAUAAAUAAAAUAAAAUAAAGCAGACUGCUGCAGUAAAAGCAACCAGUAAAAGACAAACAACUGCUAAGUUCAUGGGCUCAAUCUAGCCAAGUCUGCAGCAUGUUUCGGCUAUCCCCCGCCACGGUGCGCACUAGUCGACUAGCCGCACGACUUUUGGCUAAGCGGAUACGAAGCAAGUCGAAAGUGGUCUAUAAGCUUAAAUAUCGGUAUAAAGAUCCUAAUAACAAACUCAAGUAUGGUCGUUUUUGUUGCCGUUGAAAUUUUUCUAUCCCUCAUAAUAUUUAGGCGCAAAGGGUGAAACAGGUGGUGACGUGAUUCCCGACUUCAAUAGCAUCGCGGGUUGAGGGCUGUCCAAGAGUAGCCGAUGGAACAGGACUAAAAAAAAAUAGGACUGAAAGUUGCCUGUCCUAUUUCUUCAGUCUGAUUUCCACCGCCAAUCUGACCAAGACUUUAGAAAGCUAAUUAACCGCGUUGCAUGUAUCGUUUUUACUGUAUAGUCCUGAAAUAAUUUUUUAAAUUAUUAAGUACUUGUGUUUGGUUAUCCCCGAAUUCAAUUUGUCGUUCAAUAUGGUCUGGAAUUCUAGAAAUCAUUUAUUUCUAAAUCUUGCAUUAAAGUAUUUAAUUUUUGCAGUUCAGCUUGUCAUGAGGCUUAUCACCUUGUGGUAGUGUGUCUUGAAGCUUCUAUCAACGACCUGUUCCCAAAUGUAGAAUCUUUCUAAUUGUACUGGGUCCAUUCCACCACCCGCUGAAAUGAAUAAAUCAAUAACACAACAUUAAAUGGGUUUGAGAAUUCUAGACUUAAUGGUUGAGAUCGUACUUUAGCAUAAGUUUCCAAUACAGUAGUGGCAUCAGUUCUUUUUUCAUAAAGAAGGACGUCAUUCUCUCUUUGGCUUGGUUGAUUGGAAGCGUCUCCAACGGUUUUCCGUCAUAAUCGAACUCCGCCAAAAUGCAUUUUGAAUAUCCCGUCACCAGUGGACAGGAAGUGUACCCAUCGUACUUUUGGGACAGUUUUUUCCCAUCCAUCAAGAACCUCAAAUUAUCAAACACUAUUUUGUUCUGUCCGGCUAACGAGGAAAAAAGUAGAAUAAGGCCUUCCUUCAGGAAUUUGCAACGGCUACUUACCAAUAGCAGCUGCUGUUUUGGAGGUGGGCAGACUCGUACAGUCACCGAUUCCGAAGAUAUUCGGAAAACGCACAUGUUGCAGAGUACUUUUAUCAAUUUCCAAAUACCCGGCUUCGUUAGUUAGUUCUUUAUUCGCCCUCAGCAAUGCCGGAGAACUCAUUGGUGGAGUGACGUGAAGCAUUUCGUACUGUGUUACAAGCAGUAUUUAUGUAUGAAAACUAUUGUUUACGGGAGAAGAAGAAAACCUUACCUUAAAGGUUUUCGUUUUUCCUGCUGGAUCAUCGAGCAACCGAAAGACUGCUUCUUUUGUAUCCGGUUUCACUUCUACGAGUUCGUGUCGGAAAUUCACGGCGAUAUUCCUCUUUUUUACAACUUUUUCCAGCGCAUCAGCAUAUUUUUUUACUCCGAAAAUAGCGCCCAAUGACGUGUUAAACAUCACGUUGGCUUUAUCUCUUUUGUUGUGCUAUACAUGGUGGUUUAAUCAGUUAGCAAAUGGACUUGGUGGAAUGCUUUUACACAUACGUACCUUACGAAGGUAUUCUUCGGAGAUGUACAUGGCUUUCUGAGGUGCACCAGCGCAUUUGACUGGAGUGUUCGGAAAUGUGAAAAUGGCAUUGCCCUCCUUAAAAUUUUUCAGGGAUUCCAGGGUAUUUCCAACGUAGAGAGUCGAAUAAUUCGAACAAACACCCGGAGUAUUGAAAGCCUCUGGCAAUCCUUUAAUCUGUUUAGAUGGACACAUAAAGAUAACCUAAUGCGCAGUCCAAGAAAUUUGCAUAAGUUUUUGACAUCACACCUUAUUGUAGUCUAGUUGCAAUCCCAUUGCUAUCACAAGGUAAUCGUAAUUGAUUUCUUCGCCAGAAGCUGUGACUAGACGAUUUUCUUUCGGGAAAAAUUCGCUAGCGCGUUCUUUAAUCCAACGAGCAUUUUUGGGCAGGACUUCGCUCAUGGGUCGUCCAGAUUGUUCAAGUUUUUUCAUCCCACCGCCAACCAUGGUCCACAUUGGUUGGUAAUAAUGGGUCUAGUGAAUGAAAAAUCACGAGAUUUUAACUUGAUGACUAGAUUGUUCAAUUAGGAAGACUAACAUCAUUCGGCUCAAUGAUUGCGACAUGGUUUUUCGGAAGAAGUGAGCUGAAUUUGGCCGCUACUGAACAUCCACCGGCGCCUCCACCCACGACGACAAGUUUGUAGCUGUUAAUAAAAUUAUUUUAAAAAAUUAUUUUAUUAGAUAAACAUGGGAAACAAUUGAUAUUCAAUAAAGCUGAAGUGAAAAAACCAUAAUUUUCUGCACCCCAAACUACCCCAAUAAAAAUAAGAAAAUGAUCUAACAGUUAACAAAGACGAUUGCUACCUUGUACGCGGAGAAAUUCACGCUGCGUAAUGCCUUUGAAGGUUGAAACUUCCCAACAUCUCAAGGGCAUGACACAUCACUUUUUAUCAGCUGUUUUUCAUUAACUAAUUCCUUAUGAGAACGGCUGUUAAGACAAUGUAUUUUGAGAUACGUUAUCCGAUGCUACCGUAUUAUCUUUUUUAUAUGAAAUUCUGAAAACUAUUAUUCUUCCCCUUGUUUGGCAUAAACUGAAUUGUGUCGGACAUACAGUACCUUUGACUUAAUCGCUGUUUUGACGUUGAAAAAAACCGUGAGUUCCAGCCGCUACUUCCAAUUACCGAUUUGCACUUUAAAAUCGCAGCCAUUAUUGCUUAAUCACGGAAUUUGCCUUGAAUUUGGUGUUCUUUACACAAAUAAAAGGAUAAUUGUUAAUGA